GAUGAACGCUGGCGGCGUGCCUAAUACAUGCAAGUCGAGCGCACGGAAGAGGAGCUUGCUUCUCUGAUGUUAGCGGCGGACGGGUGAGUAACACGUGGGUAACCUACCUAUUAGACUGGGAUAACUUCGGGAAACCGUAGCUAAUACCGGAUAAUAUUUUGAACCGCAUGGUUAUACAGUGAAAGACGGUCUUGCUGUAACUUCUAGUUGAAUUCGCGUUGAAUUAGCUAUUUGGUAAGGUAACGGCUUACCAAGGCAACAUUGAAUAGCCACCCUAGGAGGGGGUUCGGCCACACGGGAACGAGACCAGGGCCAAGACUCCACGGGGAGGCACCGUAGGGGAAUCUUCGGAAAUGGGCGAAAGCCUGACGGGGCAACGCGGCUGGGUGGAGGAGGGUUUUCGGAUCUAAAGACUCUGUUAUAAGGGAGGAACAGAGGGGUAAGUAACUGUGCACAGCGUGACGGUACCUAAUCAGAAAGCCACGGCUAACUACGUG
rnacentral:rRNA from 1 species